CUCCCUCUUUUUGUUUUUGUUUUUGUUUUUGUUUUGUGUGGGUUUGUUUGUGCAUGUGCUUGAGAGAGGGCUUUGAGAUACUGGUAUAUUGAGGCCAGAAGAUAACUUUUUAGAGUUGGUUCCCUCAUGCCACCAUGUGGAUCUGGGAUCAUACCCCAGUCAUCAGGCCUGUAUGCAAACAGUUCCCACUGAGCCCUCUCUCAGGCCCCUGUUCUGCUCCACAUGAAUUCCUGGACUCAAGCCCAUGCAAUGGUACCACCCACCUUUAGGGUGGGUCUUCCCACCUCAGUUAACCUACUCUAGACAACCCUUCAAACACAUAACUAGAGGUGUGUCUCCCUGGUGACUCUAGACUCUGUCACGUUGACAAUGUUAAUCACCUCAGGUCUUGAGUGAGAAAUACUAUGGACAAAUCCACAACUGUAGAGACUUCUGUUCUGCUUUUCUAUGCCUGAAUAACCACAUAGACAAUCAGCAAAAAAAUAGAAACUCUGAAAAAAUGCCACCAACCUGCAUGGCGUGACUGACACUUCUAGAACUCUCCACUCAUGAUAGGAUACACACUCUUCAAACCCUUUCUAAUAUCCUCAGUCACAAAACAAGGUCCAACAAGUUCAGAAAUAUUCAAGCCACUCAAAUAUACAGAAAGGAAUUAUGUUAAAUAUUGAAACAUGAUGCUCUCCUGAAAGUUGCUUGUCUUUGCCAGCUCUGCAGCCUGCUCUGUGGCCCCUUGAUGCCGCAUCCCAUCAUGUGUUUGCAUCAGGGCAUUCGGCUGUUGCCGUAAUCAUGGAUAACUUGUUGCCGGCUACGUGCUGGAUUUAAUACUCAUAAUGACUCUACAAUGUAAGUGACCUUAGUCUCAUCUCCUUAGUAAAGAAACAAAGCCAUAGUGAGAGAUGGAAAUUGCCCGAAUGACAAAGCUGGGGGGGGGGGGAUUCAGCUUCACUGGGCGCUUUUCUCAGGCACUUCCCCUCGCCUUCUAACUCUCGGGACUGUGUUCUGGACAAUUUAGAAACAAGCCGUACUCUGCGGUGUCUUUGCUCAAGCUGUUUCCUCUGGUGUGUUUCUCUUGCUUUUUUUCUGGUAGUUCAACACAGACUCUGAGUCUAAACUCCAAUUGAGCAUUUUUAAAUGCUCAGCUUGGAAGUCAUCUGGAUUCCAUUCUGCACGGGUGCCCUGCGCCAUAGGACUGAGACAAUUCCUCCUUGGAACUCCUGAACACUCUUUAAGAGUAGCCAGCACUGGUGUUGUUGUCUAUGGUGAAACCAAAGAGUUAGAUCUGUAGUAGGGACGGUGUAGAUUGGAAGAGAGGUGGUGGAGGGCAGGCCCUGGCUCCUUGGAGAGACAAAUUAAGACAGUUUGGCAAAACCAGCGCUCCUUUUUCCAGCUUAUCCUGUUUUCAAGACGCAGGCAGAGUUCCGGUUAUGUACAGUGUGGGAUGUUUCUACACAAGAACACAUUGUAGAAAGUUCCAGUUAGGGCAAUUAGCAUAUUCACCAGCCCAAGCAUUUAGCCUUUCUCUGUGGUGAAGACAUUCAAAAUUCUCUCUUCUGGCCACUUCAACAUGUACUAGAUAAAACUGUGAACUAUAGUCACCUCACUGUGCACCAGAACACCAGUGCCUAACUCUCCCAUCCCAACACAGUUUUCCUCCCACUAAGCAAUCUCCCCUUGUUGCUUUCCCCUCAUGCUCUACCUUUCCCUGGGCCUGGUAACUGCUGUUCUUGAUACUUCUACAUCAGCAACUUAAGGCUGUACAAAUAAAUGAAAUUGUGAGGUAUUUAUCUUUCCAUGCCUGGCUUAUUCCAAGUAACAUGUCUUCUGAAUUCAUCCCUGUUGGCAGAAUUCAUUCUUUUUAUGGUUGGAUAGUAUUCCACUGUGGGCAUAGUGCAUAUUUUCAUUUAUUCAUUUGGCUCUGCUAGGCAUUUAGGCUCUGUCCAUAUCUUAGCAGCAGUUCAUAGUGUGGCUGUCUCUUUGACAUAUUGAUUAUAUUAAAUAUAUAUUACAUAUAUAUUUCUGUUAAGAAUGUAUAUAUGUAUUUCUGUAAAUAUAAGUUAUUAUAAUAAUAUAUAUGUAUGUACAUACACACACAUACAUGUGUGUGUGUGUGUAUGUGUGCAAAUUCAAUUCCUAGGGUCCCAAAGGCUAAAUAGCCAAAGCAAUGUUGAGCAAAAGGAACAAUGUGAGAGGUGCCACAGUGACUUAAAGCCCUAAUUACAGAGCUUAACAUAGAACAGACAUGUGAAACAAUGUGCUAGAACAAAUAACAGAGAUAAAUUUACACAGUUACAGACAAAAGUACCAGGAACAUACACCAUGGAUCUUUUAGUCAGGGUUCUCUAGAAUCACAGAACUUAUGAGUAGUCUCUAUAUAGUAAGGAAAUUCAUUGAUGACUUAUAGUCUACAGUCCAACUCCCCAACAAUGGUCAGCAGCUGUGAAUGGAAGUCCAAGGAUCUAGCAGUUACUCAUUCCUACAAGGCAAGCAGGCAAAGAAGAAUCUUUCUUCUUCC
rnacentral:lncRNA from 1 species